rnacentral:lncRNA from 1 species
CUGAGUAAGAAUAUAUUUUAAGUUUUCAGUUUCGACCCCGUUUGGUCACUGAAAACUAUAUCGAACUGUAAUUUUUAUCAGAUAGCUGUCGGAUUUUAUUUCUCACUCUACGGGUGUCAAAAAAAUAUGAAACUUUAAAUCUAGUCUCAUAAAAAUAUUUCUGACUUAUCCUCCAAUUUUCAUAAUUUUCUGAGACUGUGCAUUUUCUGCCUAUUUAUCUGUCCCGUUUCCAACAGAAAAUUCUAGAUCUUCUAUUUUCAUUUCGAUUUCAGCACAAGUCACUUCUAACUUAUGUUUUACUCCUCUAAAUCCAAUAAAAAUAGUAUCUCACACUAUUUUUAUUUAUUUUUAUUUUUAUAUUUAAAAUUCGGUAUAUUACAUUCCACCGCAACCUCACCGGAAUCAUUCAAAUGGCUUUCAAGCCAAAUGUACACCGUAACUUCCUAAUUUAGAAGUCCGGUACCUUACAUCCUCCCCUCCUUAACAGAGUUUCGUCCUCGAAACUAUCUCACUUCAAUUCCAAUUCAUACCCCAACUCAACUUAUCAAAUAGUUGGGAGUUCCAAUGCACUUUUGCAUCUCGGAGUGGCCUUUCACUCAUCAGAACUAUCCAAAGGUUCACUAUGGAGGAUGUGAGGCCAAUCUCACUCACAUAUGCCAUGUGUAAACCCAAAAGUGCAUUACCACCAUGCAAAGAACUACUCUUGCAUUAUACACCCAAUCGAAAAAUUUCACUCCGAUUCGAUCACCUACAUUGCUUAGAAGCAAUAUCGUUGGUGACUCGACCAAUCGCGAGUGGUUCAUCACAACCGGAUCCUUGCUCUAUCACGAGAUGGCCCACUCCGGCACAUCUCCAAUCUCAAUCCACAAAAGAGCAUUGUCCUCAAGCUCCAAUUCCUACGUGGCUAUCCACAUCUCAAUGUCACACAAGAGCACUUCGCCCUUGAUAUCAUAAGCCACGACCAACUCUGCUUUGCUCUUGCGACAAAUCCAUACGAACCCUCCGUUCGUGAAUCCAAGCCAAACUCACUAAUAGAGUUAUCGGCUAAACCGAUUACGUCGGUUUCCAUCGGUGGACCAACGGUCACCCGUCCUACGUAGGUCUACCGCCUAAACCUCUUACAACUACGCAUAGCGUCCCUCGCUCACCAGCGUAGACCCAAUCAUAAUCGGGCGAGAUUCUCAUUGGAGAAUUCGCACACACUCCAACCAGGAGCAACCGUGACCCCAAACCACCUCAAAUCCUCGGGUUGGGUCACUACACACUCGGUGUAUCCUCGAUCUCAUGAUCCAACACGUGGCAUUCCACGCUCCCGGGUCUAAGCUCGGACUUCCGUCCUGACCGAAUCUCUGCCCUACCCGUAGGUACCAGGCCGCUGUCUCUCACAGCUGAUUGCGCCUGCCCAAAGGGCCCAGGCUCCACAGUCCACAAAUGGUCCAGGCAUGGGUUGUCCCCAAGCACUACCAGCCGUCGUCGUACCACACGACAUACUCUAUCGAGCUAUAAAUACACUAUCGGCUCCUAAGCACCUAGUGCGAGCCACCAGCCCUACGAGUGAUCCAUGGCCCGCUUCACACUUAGCAAUGCUGAGUGCUACUGCCAACUCACUCUCCCGGCUGAAUCGAAACCGCACUCUACGAGUACCCACACUCGAGCACUCUAUAUGCCUCUAUAGCGUUCUACACGAAGUCCAGCAUUAGGCAAUCUUGCCUAUGCACACCAGUCGCACGAGCGCAACCACCUACCUCACCUUGAGGUACUAUUAGGCCCACGUGCUCAAACUUGGCCACUAAUCGACCGUUCUCUCAACAGUGAUGCUACUUUCACUGUUCGAUAUAUCGGAAUGACAUCCGAAAUUUUCGAACUACUUGGGUGUUCUCAUAAGCAUCAUGGCUCAACUCUCGCAAUUUACUACUCAUAUUGCUCUGAGAGUCGUUUCGCCACUUCUAUCUCUACCGCGAGUCUCACUUCUCGCCAUAGAUUACCUCUAGCACUUCGCUAGUGCCAUCUGGCUCUAUACCUGUACUGGCAGGUACUACGCCCUCAGAUAACACAAAACUCCAUUUCUAGAGCAAUCAAACCUAUCUCUAGAAAUCCACCAUGAGAGAGAGCUUAGAAGCUUACCUCUCCAAGAAGCUCCAACCAAGGAGAAGAUGAAGAAGAUAAGGAAGACCUCCUUCUCCUUCUCUUUCUUUCCUUUCCUUCCUUCUUCCUCUUCUUGUCUUCUAGAGAGAGAAAGAGAGAUAUGAGAGGGUGUGUGGGUGAGAAAUGAGAUAAAAGAGCUCUCAUACUCCUCACAUAGCCUCACGUGUUGCAUAAAUGCAAAUAAGCCCCUCGACUUUCAUCCUUGUGCACAGCCCUCACUCGGCAUUUUGCGCCCAGAGGGACCGGUCCCUCGUCGGGGAGACCGGUCCCCGAGAGCCCUCUCCGCGGCCUGGGGACCUUUCGCGUACGGGAACCGGUCCCCACCCGAGAGACCGGUCCCUGGGAGACCGGUCCUUCCUGAGAGACCGGUCCCCGAGAGCCGAAUUUUCAGGACUUAGCCUUUCUUUGCCCUUCUCUCGCUGGUGUCGCAUACGGGGACCGGUCCCCUCAACCAGGGACCGGUUGCAUCAACCUCCCCCGCAACCAUCAGCUACGGGGACCGGUCCUCCCUUCCAGGGACCGGUCCCCGAGAGCAAAAUCUGCUAAGUCCAGAUUCUUGCAUAUUUGCUCUCGUGGACACGUUUCCAAUGCACUUUUUGUGUUUUGGACAUCUUUAGCUUUUCCGAAGGAUACUCACUCGACAAAGAGUCGAUCCUGAACGAAGCACAACUCUUGAAUUUCGAGAAUUCACUUCCUUACAUGCACAACCUCGACCACGUCUGGCUAAGGUCUCCGCUGAGGCAUUACCCUACCACUCACACGAGAGUGGCCAAUCACUCGCGAAGUCCCAAGUCUCCGCUCGUUUCGGAUUGCUUAGGGACGCCACUCGUCCCAUCCCACGCCGAUCUAGAUUAAGAUCGCCUACGCGGUGCUAUCGCUUCCUAAGACACGACAACUCGGUCGAUUCUCGACCCUCAAUGUCUAGCGCGAAACAACUGACACCGACUCGAAUCGGGCGAAAGUCAUGCAAGGGUGUCUAUUCUCAUCACUCGGUUUCAUGUUGUGUAUACCCAACAUGAACACCCUCGGUUGAAAAUAAACCACACCUCGAGUCUACCUCUAACAUCCGUUUUAGAGGUUUACUAACCUGACCCAAUUGAUCAAUCUUUCGCCAUAAGUCACAAGUCCUCGUAUCUCACGAGCCUUAUUCUCCUAUGGUUUACUGUCCUAGGGUCUCCUAGGUCCAUCUAAACAAUUGCCCAUUCUCUACUUUCUGCUCUGAUACCACUAUUAUCUGUCACGACCCGCGACCACCUGCCUAUUUGGCCGGGUCGCGGCGCCGCCGACAGACCGCCGAACGGACAGAGUCUCCCCUGUACGUCCUAGGCGUCGCAAUCAAUUCCAAUACAAGAAGUUCCAACCAGGAACAGUAUUCAAGCAAGAUUGCAUAAGAAAGGUAUCAAACAACAUAACACAUCCUAUGUUAUUACAAGCAUUCCUAUUAGAUUCAUUUUUACAUCACAUUUGCAUUAUUACAUUACAUUUUCUUCCAAAUACAAUCAAUGAUCGCAAUAUUAUUACAAGUUUGCUCUUUUUCUUUUCCCUCUACCCCUAGGCUAUGCCGACUCGGGGUACCUCUAUCUCUGGUCUCUCGGGUAGGGCGCUAUCUAUGGAGCUACGCCCUCGCCUCGCGCCGCCGCGCCGCUCACGUGUGAACCUGUAACACCCCAAAACAACGUGGGGUGAGAACCAACUCCAUGGUUCCCAGUGGGUACGGCCACCCAAGGGAAAAGCUCGACCAAUAGGUCUAAGGAGGCCCUGCAACAUGUUAGUCCAACAGAUAUCCAACAGAUAUAUAUAUUCAAGUAUUGAAAUACAUGUUGUGCCUCACAAAAUGCAAUAUGAAAUUCAUGCAGUUUAUGCAACCAUGCAACCAACUAGUAGUUCAAUCGAUACUACUUUCAUUCCUGUUAUUCACAGUUCAACCAAUUGACUUCUAAGUUUUCCUCAAUCUUAGAUUCUUGUCAAUUACAAUUCUGCUCAUAGGGUUUAACCUGCUUUUAUAAGCUAUCCACUCGACUCGGUCUUGAGUCAAUCACACGCGGAAUACCGCACAAAGUAGGGCUCAAGGGGAAGGAUGUCUCACAUGCACCUCAGCCCUAAAUCCACUCAACUGGGAUGCAACUAAAACUCAUACCAUGCAUCAAAUAGUAAAGGUUUACUAUCAUGCUAACAAAUUCGAUCCAUGUUCAAAUAAUAAUGUUCAAUGACACUGUUCACUGUUCUUUUACCCAAUCUGUAGCGAAGCCCUAGGGUUCGUCAAUAACUCAUCUUUCAAUCCCAAAGGGGGGAGGGAGCUCCAAGUGCACCCAAGCCCGGGACUGUCUGCGGACCUCCAUGUGGUCCGGACCUCCAAGUGGUCCUAGUCGCGCGACACUCCGGAGUACUCGACGACAAUUCCCUCCAUGUGGGGAUUGGAUGGCUAUACCACCCUAAACGCAGACUGUGAGCUAGAUCUAUCCUCUCCAAGUGAGGAUACACUGUAACUAGGGUCAACACCCAAUCCAAUCCUCUCCAAGUGAGGAGGCUCUACAACUAGAGUCAAUAACCCAAUCGAAUCCUCUCCAAGUGAGGAUGCUCUACAACUGGAGUCAACAACCCAAUCAAAUCCUCUCCAAGUGAGGAUGCUCUACAACUAGAGUCAAUAUCUCAAUAACUCAUCGACAACCUCUCCAUGUGAGGGUACUUAGGUUUACUAAGUUCUUUAUCCACAAGGCACUUUCUAAAGGUUCACCUAUCCCUAGGUUCCCAAACCUCUAGUGUCAAAUACACUACAUUAAUGCCACUCGAUAUGUUCUUGUUUUCCAAAGUCAAUUUCUCUAAUCGACCAAGUUCAACAUGCAUAAUUCAUCUACUAUGUUCCAUAAUAUGGCAACAUGCAUAAUUCUUUUAUCAUAUGCAAUAUAUGUCAUCAUGUAUGUGUUUCUAUUUAACAUAAUCCACAUAUCAUCUCAUUGGUAGGUAAUAUCAACUACAUAAUAUGUUUCAAGCAUUCAUAUUAUCAUGUAAGCCUACAAAUACAACUAUAUGCAUCAAUGUGAAUUCGUAUGUUUCUUAGACAUAAAGGGCGACCUAGUCGCUUCGGUAAGCACAACCCACCUCAAAUCGCUUUCCGAUUGCUUGUCGACACUUGCAAUCGGCCUCCCGCGGAGCCCGUAACCCGGUUUGGCCCGAUCUCGCGCGCGACCACCCGAACGGCCUCCAAUUUACAAUCUGAAAAUUAAAGGUCUUCGGUUAUGUGCCACGGUGCUUCAAAUCCGUUUUCAUGGGUUUACGAUGUCGCAUCGGCCCUCUAGGCGGAAACGAAGCCUAAACGUCCGUUUCUUUAAUAACUUCGCACCGGCUCGACUAAUCGCCGAACCGUCUUCGCCAACGCGUUCGUUUACCUAGCAAUUAGGUUUACGAAGGGUCAAAUUAGAUCAAACCCUUAUAUUUUACAAAACCCCAUUCGGAGCCCUAAUAUGCAAUUAACCUCAAAAUAAUCCAAAUUAAAUGGAUCAACAUGCUAACAAAGCUCAUUAGAGGCUAUUAGAACACUUAAAGCUAAGGAUUAAGCCAAAUCCCAAAAGCUUACCACAAUGUGAACGCCGCGACGAAAAUAUGCCGCUCCAACGGGCGCACGAAAGCUCGAUCCGUCGCCUCCAACGCGUUCGCAAGCAUCUUCUCCACCAACCCUCCAAUUUUUAGAGAGAGAUUUAGAGAGAUGAGAGAGAUCUCUAGAGAAAGAAGGGAGGGUUUCCCUCCCCCUCCAUGCGCGUGUGUGUGUGUGUGGUGUGUGUGCGGCUGAAGGAGAAGAAGAGGAGUCAACACUCCUCUUUAGUCAACACCACAACACUAUUCACUCCCGGGCUGUUCGAAAUCUGAUAUCUUUCGCCAGAACUCCCUGAACAUCCGUUUGAGCUCAAACUUCACAGUCAUGUUCGGUUUUAUGUACUGAGUAAGAAUAUAUUUUAAUUUUUCAGUUUCGACCCCGUUUGGUCACUGAAAACUGUACCGAACUGUAAUCUUUAUCAGAUAGCUUUCGGAUUUUAUUUCUCACUCUACGGGUGUCAGAAAAAUAUGAAACUUUAAAUCUAGUCUCAUAAAAAUAUUUCUGACUUAUCCUCCAAUUUUUAUAAUUUUCUGAGACUGUGCAUUUUCUGCCUAUUUAUCUGUCCCGUUUCCAACAGAAAAUUCUAGAUCUUCUGUUUUCAUUCCGAUUUCAGCACAAGUCACUUCUAACUUAUGUUUUACUCCUCUAAAUUCAAUAAAAAUAGUAUCUCACACUAUUUUUAUUUAUUUUUAUUUUUAUAUUUAAAAUCCGGUAUAUUACAUUCCACCGCAACCUUACCGGAAUCAUUCAAAUGGCUUUCAAACCAAAUGUACACCGUAACUUCCUAAUUUAGAAGUCCGGUACCUUACAGCCACGAUCCCGUGCCUCCGCCGGUGUAGAA